AUGCGGCGGCGAGGCGAGGAGCACCGGAGAACUGGAGGUUGCGGGCGGCGCGAAUGGAUCGAUGUUCAACGACUCACACCCGUCGUCUGUACACUCUCACCCGGAUUAGGUUCUUGCUUUCCAGCAAACUUGGUUAGAAUAAAUGUUGGUCUCUCUAUAAUUUUUGCAAUGUGCACCUCCAUGCUACGAGUUAUUUCUUGUAAAGUUUGUACAUCAUUAAUUAGUCCAACAACCACCGGUCACCCCAAAGGAGUAAUUUUUUCUGGGCUCGUUGCACGGCAUAUGCCCAAAACCGUCGUUUGA
rnacentral:rRNA from 1 species